rnacentral:rRNA from 1 species
UACGAAGGGGCUAGCGUUGCUCGGAAUCACUGGGCGUAAAGCGCGCGCAGGUGGUCUUUCAAGUCAGUGGUGAAAGCCCGGAGCUCAACUCCGGAACUGCCAUUGAAACUGUGAGACUUGAGGACGAGAGAGGUGAGUGGAAUUCCCAGUGUAGAGGUGAAAUUCGUAGAUAUUGGGAAGAAUCACCGGUGGCGCAAGGCGGCUACACUGGCUCGUUUCUGACGCUCAGGCGCGAACAGCGUGGGAU